GGUGUUCAUUUUUAACUCAGAUGGGAUUCAAUUCACUUUGUUUGUAUUUAAAUCAGCGAACUGCGUCAGAAAGAAACGGGUCAGAAAAAGGAAGUUAAUAUCUGAAAAUCUCCAUUUUAUUAUACCGGUAGUCACUUUAAAGAAAGACUCUAAAAAGUUAAUAUCAAUGUUUUAUCAGAACAAUGACUGGAAGAUUACAAAGUUUUCGGGCGUUUUCACAUGCAGUUAUACUUCUCCUGUCAAUUCAUGAAGUACAUGUAUAUUCAAUUAAAUUUACAAGAUCAAUUUGCCUGGAAUAUCUAAAAGGUUUCAUAGAGAAUGGAAAUUGGUGUAGCAUUCAGCUUACAAACGUUUUACGAUGGCUAGAAGGUACGUAGUCAAUGUUUAUUUAAUUUGAUUCUAGAAAUUACUAUUUUAGCUUAGUUAGGUAAACAUAUUUAUUCAUUUUUAAAUCAAAAGAUUGAU